CGUGCUCAAUUUUUCUUCUCCGCGCGCCCGACGCCGCCGAACCACUUGUGCCCUAACCGGCGCCGUUCUCUUCUUCUUCACUCUCCCUCUGCCGACAGCCGCUUCUCCCCGAUCCUUUCUUCCCUAGCACCGAGCAGCAUCGCCGGCCAAUCCCUCUUCCUCCUUCCUCGCGACGCCUCUGCCCUAGUUUGGAUUGAAAGCCCUCUCCGCCGCUAAGAUCAGGAACGCGCCGGCGACGUUCAAGUCACUGCCGCCCCCCUCCUCUAUGCCCAAACUCCCUGAUUUGAGGAGUUUCCUCUUCUGAAAUUGCCCUAGCUUGCCGGGAGCCAAGAACCGCCAUCGCACAGGGUAGUGCCGGCCACCAGAUCCGACCAGCGUGCCCCCUUGCUUCUGCCCUAGGUGUCGAUGCCGAGGGCCCUACUUUCUUCCUCACAGUGGUCACAUUCCGAGCCCUAAUUCCGAGCUUUCCAUGUUGAUUUCCAUCUUUGCUAGUUCCUACAGCCGGUUAUUGAGGUUUCUGUCAGAGAGGGAAAUUUCCAGCACUAAGAUAGGUGUAGCUUCAGUAAAAAAUCUACGACAGCAAGUACUUUCGGCUAGCAAUUUCCAGCAGCGAGGUUCACCGGCAGUGAAUCCACAAGGGAACAUCUAAGAUCCGGAACUUUAACGCGAGACGAGUAUCUCGGAGUCAGAUUUGGACCAUUUUUAUCGAAGGCGGG